GCCAGCUGGUAAAACUCUUCACUCCGUGGAGAGGAAUUAUAUCCCUGAAUAAGGAUCUUAGAUUUAGCAUCUGCAGCGUGGAAAUGUCCCUGCCAGCAGGCACGAGACGUCUGAAGAUGUUUUCUGUGCAGUCUCGGUGCACAUUUUCACAAAGGCUGCUUGAAGAGAAGGCAGGGCUUUGCGAGUAGUACUGGGAGCUGCGGAAGCCAUCUUUCCUGAGCUUGUCACACUCUGGAGAGGUUGACUUUGGCCUGCUGAUGAAGGUCAUCUACACAGGUUGGUCUGCUUCCUGGCAGGAAGACGUUCUCCUGUUGAUGCCAGGGUGCUGUGUAGUGCACCGACCACUUGCUUUCCUCAUCUAGGCUGGAUACCGCUAUAGCAAAAAACAAAAAGAUAAAACACUGCAUGAGGGGCCGCCGGCCAAUCAAACACUUCUGCACCACUGCGUCUAAGGACACAGGAGACGUGUUCGACUCUGGCUGGUGCCUAGACAACCCAGAUUAAACGAUCAAUUAUGUCUGGGCCUUCGGACUUCCAGGUGUGAUGUGCCGGGCCGACCAAGGGAUUUAGGAAUGUGCUGAAUUCUUCACAGCAAAAUCAUAUUUCUUUUCCACCUAAAUAUCCAUCCCACACUGACCUACUUCUCCAUAUCCCCACGAGAUCUUUUAAUUAGUGUGACGUGAAGGGCAAACUGAAGGGUAAUAUGCACGAAAGACACCCACAGACUGGAGAAGAGAGAUUCGCAGAUACUGCUGCUUGAAAAACAAUGCCUGUAAUUCGGUUUAAAACAGAUAAAAGCCUACAGCACAAACUUUUGGAAUUCCCAAAAUACAGCAAUCAGAGAAAUUGGAUCACAAAGGAGACAAACAUGGAAAAGUUGGGAAUGGGAUAGAAAAAAGGCCGUACAUUUCAGUCUGAUAUCAUAUGAAUCCCCACUUGGAAUUUGGAAAACAGCAUACAUAUUUAUGAUCUAAAGGGGUGGUUUCCCAAUCAAGGCUUAUUCUAAUGAGCUACCUUCGUCUGUUGUGAAGCGCAAGCGCACGUGACUGCAGUUAUCCUCAGACAUGUUUGCAACGUUUUUUUUUCUUCAUUUUUUUUCAAACUUACAGCGUGCGUCUCGCUCAGACUGUAAAUGAAGCUCUGGCGCACAAAAAGAAAACAGCUGGGGCGCACCAGAUAACACGUCAGCCACGUCAUACAAAGAAGAAAAUGCUGAAUAAAGUCGUAAUUUUUGUUACUUUUUGGACCAAAAUGUGUUUUCGAUGCUUCAACACAUUCUAACUGACCCACUGAUGUCAUAUGGACUACUUUGAUGAUGUUUUUUUACCUUUCUGCACAUGGACAGUAUGCCGAACGUAGAUUUUCAAGGAGGGUCAACAAACUCUUGGACUAAAUAUAAAACAUCUUAAACUGUGUUCCAAAGAUGAACGAAGGUCUUACGAGUUUGGAACGACAGAGGGUCUGCUACCGUCACGUGCAAAGCAUCCAACCUGUACUGCAGGGCAGCAGUCUUAUUGAUCAGCCCAGCUGCUUCAGUCUGGAGCUCCAGAAAGAUGCUGCUGGCAUGCCGAGACAGAUCAGAUAACUGAUGGAGGAUGUU